rnacentral:rRNA from 1 species
GAUGAACGCUGGCGGCGUGCCUAAUACAUGCAAGUCGAGCGAACGGACGAGAAGCUUGCUUCUCUGAUGUUAGCGGCGGACGGGUGAGUAACACGUGGAUAACCUACCUAUAAGACUGGGAUAACUUCGGGAAACCGGAGCUAAUACCGGAUAAUAUUUUGAACCGCAUGGUUCAAAAGUGAAAGACGGUCUUGCUGUCACUUAUAGAUGGAUCCGCGCUGCAUUAGCUAGUUGGUAAGGUAACGGCUUACCAAGGCAACGAUGCAUAGCCGACCUGAGAGGGUGAUCGGCCACACUGGAACUGAGACACGGUCCAGACUCCUACGGGAGGCAGCAGUAGGGAAUCUUCCGCAAUGGGCGAAAGCCUGACGGAGAACGCCGCGUGAGUGAUGAAGGUCUUCGGAUCGUAAAACUCUGUUAUUAGGGAAGAACAUAUGUGUAAGUAACUGUGCACAUCUUGACGGUACCUAAUCAGAAAGCCACGGCUAACUACGUG